UUCAAUUUUAAUGAAGGAAUCACAAGGUCAAUGAAAAUGUCUCAUUUGGUACAUACACCCCAGGCUGGGCGUAGAAUUGUUGAAAGAUAUGAACGAUGCCAAGGAAUCCUCUUCUUCAGAGUGUAAUUGCUCUACUGAAUUUCAGAAUUCACAACAAAUGGAUUGGCUCAGGGUUCAAGAUUCUCUAAAAGGGCAACUGAUUACUGAAGAUGAUUUCAAAUGGAGAUUACCCGCAAGAGAAAAAGAAGGGAGCUGUGAAAUACUGAAGUAUGUUGGUGGGGUUGACUUAAGUUUCUCAAAAGAUGAUUCAACUAUUGCCUGUGGCACCCUUGUUGUGUUGGAUUUGCAGACUCACAAAGUUGUUUAUGAAGAUUCUUCUAUUGUUAGACUUCAAAUCCCAUAUGUUCCUGGUUUCCUUGCUUUCAGAGAGGCUCCUGUACUCCUGAAGCUUUUGGAUAAAAUGAAGAACAAUGGUCAUCCUUUUUACCCCCAGUGCUUAUGUUCACAGCUGCUGAUAGUUGAUGGCAAUGGAUUGCUUCAUCCUCGAGGUUUUGAUUUGGCUUGUCACAUUGGCGUCUUAGCUGAUCUUCCUACUGUUGGUGUGGGAAAGAAUCUGCACCAUGUGGACGGUCUUACACAAUCUAGGGUAAGAGAACUCCUUCAAGCAGUGGACUCUCCUGAAAAUGUCUUGCCCCUAGUUGGGGACUCUGGAUGUACCUGGGGAGCGGUAAGGAGGCAAUGCGAUCAUCUCAGGGCUCUUUGAAGCCUAUAUUUAUUUCAGUUGGUCACCGAAUAUCUCUCGCCACUGCCACUGAAAUUGUGAGGAUGACUUGCAGAUUUCGUGUUCCAGAGCCCAUCCGGCAGGCUGAUAUAAGAUCAAGGGAGCGCCUGCAGAACAAUUAAUGAUUAUGUCCAUAAUCGCUUCUCUAUAUAUUUGGUAGGUUCUGAGUUUGGUGAAUUACAAUUAGUAAUGUUGGUAAUAUGAUUCAAGAGUAAUAGGAUGUCGAAAUAUUAUAAGAGGUUGAGUUCAAGAGUUGCUGAAAUAAAUCAAAUUCACCCUUUUUCGUGCUUUAUUGUUUUCAAGCUGGAAAUUUCUGCUACGUUUGACAUGGUUGCGGUCAAGGCAAAUGAAGGAUCAAGGUUUAUGUUGUCUUUGCUGUGUGAACAGCAAACUGAUAGUGUUUUUUAUAGGAUGAUUGACAACUUCCUGCUUCAAGAUCUGUAGAUAUACUUACUACUUAAAUAGUCUUCCGACCACAACCGACCCUCUUUUCCAAACUCCAAGACCUCAUUGUAACCUGUCUCAACAUGGUCCAGGCAAGCUUAAUUUGGUAUUUGUGUCACUCAGGGAUCGAGGAUAUUAUGCUUCAAUUUGGCCAGGAUCAAAGUGUCAUUUUCUCGGUCCGUCUUCUGUUAGUGUUUUUUCAUUCAUACCAUGGAAAGCUCGACUAAACCAGGAAUUGUAUAGGAGUAAUGAAGAAGAGAGAAGGCAAAGAACAUUGGAUUCUGUAGGUACAAAACAGAGAGAGAACAUUAAAUUCUGAGAGAAGAAAAACAUUCAUACAGCUGCUAUUUUCCAUUUCAUAUUUGCUUUAGGAUAUCAGCAUUUUUGUUAGCUUGUAUAACUUAUGCAUGUCAGGCAAAAUAUGCGCACAAGUUGGCCUGGACACCACGGUAUAAAAAAUAAAUAAAUUAUAAACUC